GAUUGAACGCUGGCGGCAGGCCUAACACAUGCAAGUCGAACGGUAACAGGAAGCAGCUUGCUGCUUUGCUGACGAGUGGCGGACGGGUGAGUAAUGUCUGGGAAACUGCCUGAUGGAGGGGGAUAACUACUGGAAACGGUAGCUAAUACCGCAUAACGUCGCAAGACCAAAGAGGGGGACCUUCGGGCCUCUUGCCAUCGGAUGUGCCCAGAUGGGAUUAGCUAGUAGGUGGGGUAACGGCUCACCUAGGCGACGAUCCCUAGCUGGUCUGAGAGGAUGACCAGCCACACUGGAACUGAGACACGGUCCAGACUCCUACGGGAGGCAGCAGUGGGGAAUAUUGCACAAUGGGCGCAAGCCUGAUGCAGCCAUGCCGCGUGUAUGAAGAAGGCCUUCGGGUUGUAAAGUACUUUCAGCGGGGAGGAAGGUGUUGAGGUUAAUAACCUCAGCAAUUGACGUUACCCGCAGAAGAAGCACCGGCUAACUCCGUGCCAGCAGCCGCGGUAAUACGGAGGGUGCAAGCGUUAAUCGGAAUUACUGGGCGUAAAGCGCACGCAGGCGGUCUGUCAAGUCGGAUGUGAAAUCCCCGGGCUCAACCUGGGAACUGCAUUCGAAACUGGCAGGCUAGAGUCUUGUAGAGGGGGGUAGAAUUCCAGGUGUAGCGGUGAAAUGCGUAGAGAUCUGGAGGAAUACCGGUGGCGAAGGCGGCCCCCUGGACAAAGACUGACGCUCAGGUGCGAAAGCGUGGGGAGCAAACAGGAUUAGAUACCCCUGGUAGUCCACGCCGUAAACGAUGUCGACUUGGAGGUUGUGCCCUUUGAGGCGUGGCUUCCGGAGCUAACGCGUUAAGUCGACCGCCUGGGGAGUACGGCCGCAAGGUUAAAACUCAAAUGAAUUGACGGGGGCCCGCACAAGCGGUGGAGCAUGUGGUUUAAUUCGAUGCAACGCGAAGAACCUUACCUACUCUUGACAUCCAGAGAACUUAGCAGAGAUGCUUUGGUGCCUUCGGGAACUCUGAGACAGGUGCUGCAUGGCUGUCGUCAGCUCGUGUUGUGAAAUGUUGGGUUAAGUCCCGCAACGAGCGCAACCCUUAUCCUUUGUUGCCAGCGGUUAGGCCGGGAACUCAAAGGAGACUGCCAGUGAUAAACUGGAGGAAGGUGGGGAUGACGUCAAGUCAUCAUGGCCCUUACGAGUAGGGCUACACACGUGCUACAAUGGCGCAUACAAAGAGAAGCGACCUCGCGAGAGCAAGCGGACCUCAUAAAGUGCGUCGUAGUCCGGAUUGGAGUCUGCAACUCGACUCCAUGAAGUCGGAAUCGCUAGUAAUCGUGGAUCAGAAUGCCACGGUGAAUACGUUCCCGGGCCUUGUACUCACCGC
rnacentral:rRNA from 1 species